GUUAUGUACUAGCAAUUAAGUUGCAGAAAAUUAAGUAAAUAUUAAGUCCCUUGAAAUUAGUACUUUGAGAAAAGAGGAUACCAGCAAGAUCAGUAGAAGCAUUGAGGCUCCUUUUUCCUUCAAGCAAAGAAUUCUUUCUGUUCUCUAAUGGUGCUUCUCCAUCUUCGUGUACUAGCCAGGAAAGUGCUUUGGAACCCUAGAAGGGAAACUGCUAAUUUCUCCAACCUGGGUUUUGGUCUCCUUGGAAUCCCUGCCAGUCUCCCCUGGAAAGGAUAGGAGUACCUGGAUGUUGAAAAAGUUGAAGAGUACCUGGGUAUUGCUUAGCAGUAGCCCUGCUCAUGUAGAAGACUUAAUUCUCUACAGAGAAGCCAGAAGCUGGUACUCCUGUGGAAUGCCACAUGAAACAGCAAGUUACUGGUAUAACUGAUUGGAUUAAGGGGACCAUCCUGGACCACAAAGUACUCUGGCAGAUGGCAGACACAUGUGGGUAUGGUGGAGCAGGAAAAAAGGGACUGAAACAAAGAAGAACAUGCUCCAUUGGUCAAAAGAAAAUGGGACAGGAACGCAGACAGAAGCAAGGAGGCAGAGAAAUGUGGAUGCAGACCCAGAAGAAUUUCUCCUCUGUGGUUCCAUGAACUAUCUCUCUUCUCAUAAUAAAA